rnacentral:rRNA from 1 species
AACGCGAAGAACCUUACCUGGGUUUGACAUACACCAGACGCUGGUAGAGAUAUCAGUUCCCUUGUGGUUGGUGUACAGGUGGUGCAUGGCUGUCGUCAGCUCGUGUCGUGAGAUGUUGGGUUAAGUCCCGCAACGAGCGCAACCCUUAUCUUAUGUUGCCAGCGCGUAAUGGCGGGGACUCGUGAGAGACUGCCGGGGUCAACUCGGAGGAAGGUGGGGACGACGUCAAGUCAUCAUGCCCCUUAUGUCCAGGGCUUCACACAUGCUACAAUGGCCGGUACAGAGGGCUGCGAUACCGUGAGGUGGAGCGAAUCCCUUAAAGCCGGUCUCAGUUCGGAUCGGGGUCUGCAACUCGACCCCGUGAAGUUGGAGUCGCUAGUAAUCGCAGAUCAGCAACGCUGCGGUGAAUACGUUCCCGGGCCUUGUACACACCGAGUAUA